UUGAACCACUAGGGGUGUCUAUUUGACUGAGAUUAAAGCCUAGCUUUAAGACCCUUUGAACCUGAACUAUCUCAUUAUAGCGGAGGGAAGUGGAACAUCAUGAUU
rnacentral:ncRNA from 2 species